AGCAGGUUUCCCCCCCGGAUUCCCGUGGCUCUGAGCUUGAGGAUUCCUCCCUCUCCCGCUGGAUCUCACUCUGCUGAAGCCUGAACUUAGAAGACCCGGAUUGCACAUUCCUUACAUUGUAAACAAAUAAAAGUUUGUACCCAU